UACGUAGGGCGCAAGCGUUAUCCGGAAUUAUUGGGCGUAAAGAGCUCGUAGGCGGUGUGUCGCGUCGGCCGUGAAAACCUGCAGCUUAACUGUGGGCGUGCGGUCGAUACGGGCAUCACUGGAGUUCGGCAGGGGAGACUGGAAUUCCUGGUGUAGCGGUGAAAUGCGCAGAUAUCAGGAGGAACACCGGUGGCGAAGGCGGUGGUCUGGGCCGGAACUGACGCUGAGGAGCGAAAGCGUGGGGAGCGAACGG
rnacentral:rRNA from 1 species